UACGAAGGGGGCAAGCGUUAUUCGGAUUCAUUGGGCGUAAAGGGCGCGUAGGUGGCUGGGCAGGUCCGGUGUGAAAACGCUACCGCUCAACGGAGCGAAUGCGCUGGAUACUGCUCAACUUGAGUACGGAAGAGGUUGGCGGAAUACCCGGUGUACCGGUGGAAUGGGUAGAGAUCGGGUAGGACACCUGUGGCGAGGGCGGCCAACUGGUCCGGUACUGACACUGAUGCGCGAAAGCGUGGGGAGCAAACGGG
rnacentral:rRNA from 1 species